rnacentral:ncRNA from 1 species
ACAUCGGUGAUGAUGGAGAGGGAGUAAAUCCGGAAGAGCCGUACAGAGAGCGGGAACAGGUGAAAGCCCGCCGGGGAGAACGGGUUGAACAUGGCUUCGGAACUGUAAGCUGAACGGAAAGCGCAAUUAAGUGCUAGCUCUUUCCCGAUAAGCUAUACCGGUUAAGCACCGUUAUCAGGCUUGGGGUAUCGGGAACUCUCCCCGUACCUUAAACGAGGCUUGCCCUUUAAGGGGCCGGCAAAUUAGGGUGGUACCGCGAAACAAUUCGCCCCUGGG